rnacentral:rRNA from 1 species
UACGUAGGGUCCGAGCGUUGUCCGGAAUUACUGGGCGUAAAGAGCUCGUAGGUGGUUUGUCGCGUUGUUCGUGAAAACUCACAGCUCAACUGUGGGCGUGCGGGCGAUACGGGCAGACUGGAGUACUGCAGGGGAGACUGGAAUUCCUGGUGUAGCGGUGAAAUGCGCAGAUAUCAGGAGGAACACCGGUGGCGAAGGCGGUUCUCUGGGAAUGACCUGACGCUGAGGAGCGAAAGUGUGGGGAGCGAACAGG